rnacentral:rRNA from 1 species
AUUGAACGCUGGCGGCAUGCCUUACACAUGCAAGUCGAACGGCAGCACGGGGCAACCUGGUGGCGAGUGGCGAACGGGUGAGUAAUGCAUCGGAACGUACCUUUCAGUGGGGGAUAACGUAGCGAAAGUUACGCUAAUACCGCAUAUUCUGUGGGCAGGAAAGCAGGGGAUCGCAAGACCUUGCGCUGAUUGAGCGGCCGAUGUCAGAUUAGCUAGUUGGUGAGGUAAAGGCUCACCAAGGCGACGAUCUGUAGCGGGUCCGAGAGGAUGAUCCGCCACACUGGAACUGAGACACGGUCCAGACUCCUACGGGGGGCAGCAGUGGGGAAUUUUGGACAAUGGGGGCAACCCUGAUCCAGCCAUGCCGCGUGAGUGAAGAAGGCCUUCGGGUUGUAAAGCUCUUUCGGCCGGGAAGAAAUCGCACGGGCUAAUACCCUGUGUGGAUGACGGUACCGGAAUAAGAAGCACCGGCUAACUACGUGCCAGCCGCCGCCGUAACAC